AGUGAUAUGAGAGGACGCACAGAGAGGGAGGAGCAACACUGUCAAAGAGCAGAACAGAAAAGACCUCCUGCUGUGCUGCAUUCAAUAUCUACAGCAGACCUCAGAUAGUGUCUGUAAGAUGUUCCCUCUGCGUCACGCUGGAGUCUGGCCUUUGUUUCUCUUCAUCCUGAAAGGUGUCAGCUGUGAUGAACUGACUCCAGACCAGACUGCAGAGUUCAGUGUAGAAGGCAGCUCUGUUACUCUGUCCUACAAGUUCUCCAGGACAAUAACUGGUAAUGAUUAUUUCUACUGGUAUCGACAGAAUCCAGGACAAGCUCCAGAGUUCCUCCUCUCACACUCUGCUUCAGGACAAAUACUAGCUGCUCCAACCUCUGGACUGAAGAUCCAAGUGGAGCAGAACCAAAUCCACAUGAUCAUCUCCUCUGCUGCAGUUCUGUAG